rnacentral:rRNA from 1 species
GCAAGUCGAACGAACUCUGGUAUUGAUUGGUGCUUGCAUCAUGAUUUACAUUUGAGUGAGUGGCGAACUGGUGAGUAACACGUGGGAAACCUGCCCAGAAGCGGGGGAUAACACCUGGAAACAGAUGCUAAUACCGCAUAACAACUUGGACCGCAUGGUCCGAGCUUGAAAGAUGGCUUCGGCUAUCACUUUUGGAUGGUCCCGCGGCGUAUUAGCUAGAUGGUGGGGUAACGGCUCACCAUGGCAAUGAUACGUAGCCGACCUGAGAGGGUAAUCGGCCACAUUGGGACUGAGACACGGCCCAAACUCCUACGGGAGGCAGCAGUAGGGAAUCUUCCACAAUGGACGAAAGUCUGAUGGAGCAACGCCGCGUGAGUGAAGAAGGGUUUCGGCUCGUAAAACUCUGUUGUUAAAGAAGAACAUAUCUGAGAGUAACUGUUCAGGUAUUGACGGUAUUUAACCAGAAAGCCACGGCUAACUACGUGCCAGCAGCCGCGGUAAUACGUAGGUGGCAAGCGUUGUCCGGAUUUAUUGGGCGUAAAGCGAGCGCAGGCGGUUUUUUAAGUCUGAUGUGAAAGCCUUCGGCUCAACCGAAGAAGUGCAUCGGAAACUGGGAAACUUGAGUGCAGAAGAGGACAGUGGAACUCCAUGUGUAGCGGUGAAAUGCGUAGAUAUAUGGAAGAACACCAGUGGCGAAGGCGGCUGUCUGGUCUGUAACUGACGCUGAGGCUCGAAAGUAUGGGUAGCAAACAGGAUUAGAUACCCUGGUAGUCCAUACCGUAAACGAUGAAUGCUAAGUGUUGGAGGGUUUCCGCCCUUCAGUGCUGCAGCUAACGCAUUAAGCAUUCCGCCUGGGGAGUACGGCCGCAAGGCUGAAACUCAAAGGAAUUGACGGGGGCCCGCACAAGCGGUGGAGCAUGUGGUUUAAUUCGAAGCUACGCGAAGAACCUUACCAGGUCUUGACAUACUAUGCAAAUCUAAGAGAUUAGACGUUCCCUUCGGGGACAUGGAUACAGGUGGUGCAUGGUUGUCGUCAGCUCGUGUCGUGAGAUGUUGGGUUAAGUCCCGCAACGAGCGCAACCCUUAUUAUCAGUUGCCAGCAUUAAGUUGGGCACUCUGGUGAGACUGCCGGUGACAAACCGGAGGAAGGUGGGGAUGACGUCAAAUCAUC